rnacentral:rRNA from 1 species
UUGAACGCUGGCGGCAGGCUUAACACAUGCAAGUCGAGCGGCAGCAUGGUAGGGAGCAUACAUACUGAGGGCGAGUGGCGGACGGGUGAGGAAUACACUAGGAAUCUACCCUGUAGGGGGGAUAACCGUAGGGAAACUUCCGCUAAUACCGCAUACGACUCUGGAGACAGCAAAGCUGGGGACGCAAGCCUGGCGCUGAUAGGAUGAGCCUGCUGUCCGAUUAGCUAGUUGGUAGGGGUAAAGGCCCUACCAAGGCGAUGAUCGGUAGCUGGUCUGAGAGGACUGAUCAGCCACACUGGAACUGAGACACGGUCCAGACUCCUACGGGAGGCAGCAGUGGGGAAUAUUGGACAAUGGGGGCAACCCUGAUCCAGCAUGCCGCGUGUGUGAAGAAGGCCUUCGGGUUGUAAAGCACUUUAGGUUCCGGAAAGAACGGUGCUAGGUUAGAUAGCCGGGGUAAUGACGGUACCAGACAGAAUAAGCACCGGCUAACUCUGUGCCAGCAGCCGCGGUAAUACAGAGGGUGCAAGCGUUACUCGGAAGUUACUGGGCGUAAAGGGCUGCGUAGGCUGGUUGAUUAAGUAGAUGUGAAAGCCCCUGGGCUUAACCUAGGAACUGCGAUCUGAUACUGGGUUACUAGAGUAGUGGUAGAGGAGUAGUGGAAUUUCCCGGUGUAGCGGUGAAAUGCGUAGAGAUCGGAGAGGAACACUCAGUUGCGAAGGCGGCUACUCUGGACCAUUCACUGACCCUGAGGCACGAGAAGCGUGGGGAGCAAACAGGAUUAGAUACCCUGGUAGUCCACGCCUGUAAACGAUGAGAACUAGGAUGUUGGUAGCAACUGAGCCUAUUAGUAUCGAAGCUAACGCGAUAAGUUCGCCGCCUGGGGAGUACGGUCGCAAGGUGAAAACUCAAAGGAAUUGACGGGGGGCCCGCACAAGCGGUGGAGCUAUGUGGUUUAAUUCGAUGCAACGCGAAGAACCUUACCUAGCCCUUGACAUCCACAGGAAUCUGAUAGAGAUAGCGGAGUGCCUAGGAACUGUGAGACAGGUGCUGCAUGGCUGUCGUCAGCUCGUGUUGUGAGAUGUUGGGUUAAGUCCCGCUAACGAGCGCAACCCUUGUCCUUAGUUGCCAGCAUGUAAUGGUGGGGAACUCUAAGGAGACUGCCUGGUGAUAACCGGAGGAAGGCUGGGGACUGACGUCAAGUCAUCAUGGCCCUUUAUGGUACAGGGCUACACACGUACUACAAUGGUCGGGUACAGAGGGUCAGCCGAAGCUCGCGAGAGGGAGCCAAUCCCAGAAACCCCAUCGUAGUCCGGAUUGGAGUCUGCAACUCGACUCCAUGAAGUCGGAAUCGCUAGUAAUCGCGGAUCAGCAUGUCGCGGUGAAUACGUUCCCGGGCCUUGUACACACCGCCCGUCACACCAUGGGAGUUGUUGCACCAGAAGCAGGUAGUUUAACCUGCAAGGGGGACGCUUGCCACGGUAUGUGCGAUGACUGGGGUG